rnacentral:rRNA from 1 species
CAGCAGCAGCCGCGGUAACACGUAGGUGGCAAGCGUUGUCCGGAAUUAUUGGGCGUAAAGGGCUCGCAGGCGGUUUCUUAAGUCUGAUGUGAAAGCCCCCGGCUCAACCGGGGAGGGUCAUUGGAAACUGGGAAACUUGAGUGCAGAAGAGGAGAGUGGAAUUCCACGUGUAGCGGUGAAAUGCGUAGAGAUGUGGAGGAACACCAGUGGCGAAGGCGACUCUCUGGUCUGUAACUGACGCUGAGGAGCGAAAGCGUGGGGAGCGAACAGGAUUAGAUACCCGCGUAGUCCCUGUCUCUUAUAC